rnacentral:rRNA from 1 species
CCAGACUCCUACGGGAGGCAGCAGUGGGGGAUAUUGCACAAUGGGGGGAACCCUGAUGCAGCGACGCCGCGUGGGUGAAGGAGUAUUUCGGUAUGUAAAGCCCUAUCGGCAGGGAAGAAGCAAGACGGUACCUGACUAAGAAGCCCCGGCUAACUACGUGCCAGCAGCCGCGGUAAUACGUAGGGGGCAAGCGUUAUCCGGAUUUACUGGGUGUAAAGGGAGCGUAGACGGAAAGGCAAGUCAGAAGUGAAAGCCCAAGGCUCAACCAUGGGACUGCUUUUGAAACUGUCAAACUAGAGUACGGGAGAGGUAAGAGGAAUUCCUAGUGUAGCGGUGAAAUGCGUAGAUAUUAGGAGGAACACCAGUGGCGAAGGCGUCUUACUGGACCGAAACUGACGUUGAGGCUCGAAAGCGUGGGGAGCAAACAGGAUUAGAUACCCCCGUAGA